UUUAUUUGUGAUUCAUUAAUUUGUAAAACAUUUUAGAUUAUUCUUAACAUUAUCUGAGCAGAGGGCUUAACAGUACCCUUUUUCUUAUAAAUUUGACACGUAUCUUAAGGCCAUGUUUAACACGCAUGCGCGAGAAAGCGUCCCCCGAGAACAACAUUGUGACACACAUACAUGUGAGAUAAUAUUUUAUAAAAGUACGCGCAGAGUAUAAUACAACAAGAAAAAAAGUAAUAAAGUGAUUAAUAGUUAUGAAAAUAUUGUGGAAUAGUGCAAAACACAAGGAAAAAAAGUGAUAAAGUGAAAAGAAAUUAUUAACGCGAAAUAGUGCAAGGAAGAGAAGUGAUUUCUUUUAAUGAUGUCAUAUUAAGCAAAGUUAGGUUAGGUUAUAUUAGCGAAACUAAGCGAAUGCUUUACACACAAUGCUUGAAUGAAUCUGUGUAUUAUCAAUAAUUAACAUGUUUUUUCCAACAAAUACGUUGUUGGAAACUGAUCAUAGAAACAUCGAAGGAAUAUUUGGAAAUUUUAGCUGAACAUGUUUUCGAUAACGAUAAGCUGGUUAAUUUAUAAAUGGCUACACAAUAAGUCUAUGUUAAUGUAGCAAAAUAAAUUUUGUGAAAAUUCUAUCAAAAAUAUCAUAAAAACAACAUUGAAUAUACAUUUUUAUUAAUUGGCUUCAUAAUGAAAUGAUAAAAUCAUAUUGAAGCAUUUCUAUAGUGUCCACAAAUAUUUAGCGGAUCAGGAAUUACUCGCAACUUUUGGUUCUGGUGACGGAUGGUCGUUGGCUGCUCCCAUUGCUCUUAAAUAAGAGAAAAGGUUUUCGAGCACAUCCUGACAUAAUCGCCUUGUAAUUAUGUAUUCGGGUAUGAAUAAAUCGGAAGAAUAUUUUUCUUUUAUAUAUGGCAGCAAUUCUUUCAAUGAAGCAUUCGUCAGUAAUAUGCCCUUUUGAAAUGGUAGGAGAGCCGAUUUUUUGCCAACUCUCAUGUUGGAAAUGAACUGGCUCAUUUUCCCCAAAAUUUAAUUUUGAUGUUCCAAUUCCACUUCAUAAGCACGCGAGCCGCUAUGGGAUCCGAAUUUUGAUUGGCUGUUCAAUACAUCGAACUAGUCAUUAAUCAGAAGAAAAACAUCCGAUAGUUCUUGCCAAUAAUUGUUUUGCGAGAAAAAUCCCUUUCUUCCGCAGUACUUAAUGGCCAAUGCGUUUCGGCGAGAAAAAGCUUGUGCCGCUAAUUUCACCAGUUUGACGCUGAUGUCCCUUGGCGUCGAGAUGCUUUUCACUUAAAUUGAAAGCAAUUUUUAAAUCUUUGGAAUUCAGUGCGACAAGUUCUUCCAAAAUUCGCUUAUUCAAUAUUUUUCCACCAACAAGAAAACCGUAGUCAAUGAAGUUAUUUCUUAAUAGCUUGAUCAAAUGAGGAACAUCUGCGAAGACAAAAAUCUUUAAAGAUUUAUCUGCCUGGUGUUCGAAAAAAUAUUUCUUCUCUGAGGAGUCUUGUUUCAUGCCUUGCU